AGCGGCGGACGGGUGAGUAACGCGUGGGUAACCGUGCCUCAUACAGGGGGAUAACAGUUGGAAACGGCUGCUAAUACCGCAUAAGCGCACAGUACCGCAUGGUACGGUGUGAAAAACUCCGGUGGUAUGAGAUGGACCUGCGUCUGAUUAGGUAGUUGGUGGGGUAACGGCCUACCAAGCCGACGAUCAGUAGCCGACCUGAGAGGGUGACCGGCCACAUUGGGACUGAGACACGGCCCAA
rnacentral:rRNA from 1 species